GUUGUAGGAGAGGCUGGGGAAGCUAAAAGUGCCUACAACUCAAAUUCCAUAAUUUUGAGCGGAAGUGGGACUUUGGGGGUCUAGCCCCCCCUCCCUCCUUAAACCAAAUAUAUUGUUUGGAACUGGAUCAAGGUAAGAAUUUAAAAAAUUGAGACUGCUAAGCAGAACAGUAAAGAGGUUAUAAAAAGCAAUAUCAACGUAGCCAAAUUAUUUAUAUCGAUUCCAUAAUCAGAUGUUUCGCAGAUUAAACAAAUGUAUGGUACUGCCAAGAAAUAAGGGCUCGCUUAAGUGCGGUUUGGCAAAUUGAAAACAUUUUGGAGCUUCAUGCUUUAGAAAUUAAAGCCCACGCUGAAAGCUUCGACAGAGUAAUUUAUACUUAAGAGACAGAGAUUUAGCAGUAAUCGUACAUGAUAUACAGGGUAUACUAUUAGUCUCUGAGCUACCAGGCAUAUUUCUGAUUAAACUGACUUUAUUUAAAUGUCUCUUUCUCAACCACCAAUUAGGAAUGCACUACUGGUACGACUUGAAUGAAAACACGCCAUGUGAGGAACUGUUCCCUGUUUUCCUCCUCUACAACGGGGGCAAACUCAACGCUUUUGGAUGGGCCAUGCUAACUGAUCUCAAUUCAACUCGUUAUGAGCACUUUAAUGCUUCAGCAGUAGGGGGGUUCAUGCAAAAUGUCCCAACGUGUCUGAAGUCAGUGAAAACCGUGACGACUAUGCACAUCUACCUCACUGACAGAUAUAAUCUUGACUUGUGCUGACAGACCUGUGUAUAGUGAUUCUCUACAAAACUCACAGAAAUUGCAGCUUUUGUAGAUUUCAGUGUAUACAUUGGUUCUAUUGCAUCUUUCGGAAAUAAAAAAAUGAUAUUUUGAA